rnacentral:rRNA from 1 species
GACGUAGGGCGCGAGCGUUGUCCGGAUUUAUUGGGCGUAAAGAGCUCGUAGGCGGCUUGUUGCGUCAGCUGUGAAAUCCCACGGCUCAACCGUGGAAGUGCAUUCGAAACUGCAAGGCUAGAGUUCUGGAGAGGAAGGUGGAAUGCUUGGUGUAGAGGUGAAAUUCGUAGAUAUCAAGCGGAACACCGGUGGCGAAGGCGGCCUUCUGGACAGUAACUGACGCUGAGACGCGAAAGCGUGGGGAGCAAACAGG